rfam:Rhodotorula toruloides ATCC 204091 scaffold00009, whole genome shotgun sequence.
AACCUUUCUGGCCUUUUGGCUUAGAUCAAGUGUAGUAUCUGUUCUUACCAGUGUGAUUACUGGUAGUCCCCCAUCGGGGGACUCAAUCAAUCACAUUAAUCUUUGCCCGCCGGCGCAGUCAGUUCUCGGGCUUGCCCUCCUGGCUGCCAAGAUGGCCCUCCCACUCCACUCCAGAGAGGCGCUGUCGGGCUUCA